GCUGAGCUGUCAGUCAGAACAUCGGCCUCAACAAUGCUGCUCUGUUUGCUUGGCUUUCUAUCCACAUUUGGAGGUGUCAGCUGUGGCGAUGUCAUCACUCCAGCCCAAACUGAGGUGUAUGGGAAAAGUGGGAAUAAAGUCACGCUGUCGUGCAACUACUCCACAGCACUUUCUUUAUACUGGUAUCGUCAAUAUCCAGGAUCAAAUCCACAUUGCCUUCUUCUGAUACUAACAAAAAGUGAAACCUCUGAAAACAUGCAGCCUGGAAUGUCAGUGAGAUUACAUAAAGAGAAAGCCUCUAUGGAUCUGAAGAUCUCCUCUGCCAAACUAACAGACUCGGCAGUUUACUACUGUGCGUUGAAGCCCACAGUGAGAGGAAACCCAUCAGCGCCGUACAAAAACCUGAACCUGACUUCACAAGUGCAUGACAUACAUUAAUGAUGUCCAAACACUGCAACACGUGGAAUACCUUUAUUUUACACAUACAGUAAUCCUAAAUUGACAGUGGGAUUUUUAUCAUCUAUUCAUUAUUUAGUGGUUUUAUAAGUGAACUGUCAAAAUUUUUAAAUUUAAUAAAUAUUCAAUCAAAAUAAAACAUUGAACCCUAACAAUACAUGCUAAAUCUGUAUCUGACUUUUAUCUUUGUUAGAUCUG